UUGAUUUUGUCGGACCCCACUGCUAUUGAGGUGGGAUUAAGUAAUGUUAGUUGAAUGAUUUGAAUUAUGUUGGGAAGUGGCACACGGCUCAGUAAUAUGUAGCUAACCUAAUUUAAGGAUGGAGAAAAUUUUGGGAAAUUGGGGUUAAUAAUUGAUAGGUAUGAUGUUUUGGAAUGGUAUCAUGCCUAAAGGUGUUUAUAGUAUGUUGUUAAUAUGUUUUAGGAUGGGGCUGUGGUUGAUUAGGUUGUUGGUGAGGUAAUGGCUCACCAAAUUUUUGACCAGUACGGGCCAUGAGAGUGGUAGCCCGGAGAUGGAUAUUGAGAUAAGGGUUUAGGUUUUAUGGAAUGUAGUAUGUGUGAAAUUUUUUUAAUGUAUUUAAGUGUGAAGGGGUUACCUCGAGUGCCACUUGAUGAAGGUGGUUUUUGUAUAGUAUAAUAUGUUAUUUGAAUAAGAGGGGGGUAAGACUGGUGUUAGCCGUUGUGGUAACACCAGCCCCUCGAGUGGUGGGGAUGAUUAUUUGGCCUAAAGCGUCCGUAGCCGGCCAUGUAAGUCUCCCGUUAAAUCCAGCGUUUUAAGUGUUGGAUUGUGGGAGAUACUGCAAGGCUAGAGGGUGGGAGAGGUAUGCGGUAUUUUGGGGGUAGGGGUGAAAUUUUUUGAUUUUUGGAGGAUUAUUAGUGGUGAAGGCUGCAUACUAGAACACGCCUGACGGUUAGGGACGAAAGUUGGGGUAGUGAAUUGGAUUAGAUAUUUGGGUAGUCCCAGCCGUAAAUGAUGUAUGUUAGGUGUUGGGUCGGCUAUGAGCCGCCCCAGUGCCGUAGGGAAGUUGAUAAGCGUGCCGCCUGGGGAGUACGGCCGCAAGGCUGAAACUUAAAGGAAUUGGCGGGGGAGCACCACCAGGCGUGAAGCCUGUGGUUUAAUUGGAGUCAAUGUUGGGAAUUUUAUUGGGAGUGAUAGUAGAGUGAAGGUUAAGUUGAAGAUUUUGUUAGAUAAGUUGAGAGGAGGUGCAUGGCCGUUGCCAGUUCGUGCCGUGAGGUGUUUUUUUAAGUGAGAUAAUGAAUGAGACCCGUGUCCCAUGUUGUUAUUAGAUUUUAAAGGGAUGUUGGGUAUUUUUGGGGGAUUGUAGCCGAUAAGGCUGAGGAAGGUACGGGCAACGGCAGGUUAGUAUGCCCCGAAUUUUUUGGGCUAUACGCGGGCUGCAAUGGUAUGGAUAGAGGGUUGUAAUUUUGAAAGGAGAAGUUAACCCUUAAAUUGUACCUCAGUUGGGAUCGAGGGCUGUAAUUUGCCCUCGUGAACAUGGAAUGCCUAGUAACCGCCGGUUAUUAUUUGGCGGUGAAUAUGUCCCUGCUCCUUGUAUAUAUUGCCCGUUGAAUUAUUUGAAUGAGGUUUGGGUGAAGCAUGGUCGAUAGUUGGCCGUGUCGAACCUGGGCUUCGUAAGGAGGGUUAAGUUGUAAUAAGGUG
rnacentral:rRNA from 1 species